rnacentral:misc_RNA from 1 species
CGCCUUCAGAUAGUCCCAAUAAAGGCAGAGGGGUUGGAUGAAAAGGUACUCCACCACGGCUACUCUCUACAAAUGAGUGCAAAAAGGUUGAUAGCACUCUUUGUGGUGGCCCAUCCAAUAUCGGUUGAUGCUGAGAAGCAGGAACUUGGUCAUAAAUACGAUCAAAUUCAGCAAGACUUGGUUGCAUUUCUCUCAAGUGGGCAGGAGGAGGACCGCCCUGUACCUCAUUCCAUGCAGAGGCCAUACCACUGUGAUUGGCAGCCGAGUGGAAGCCAUUAAAAAAAUUUGACGCCUGCUGAUUGGGUUGAAGCGGUGGGUGAUCAAACUCAGACCCAGGGAGCUGCUCAUGGG